rnacentral:lncRNA from 1 species
ACCGCGCCCGCCUCGCCUCCCGCGGCUGCCAGCGUGCACUGGGCGCUCCUCGGCGCGUCUGCCCGGCCCGUCUCGGCUUUCCUUCUCCUUCCUCUAGUCCCAGCGUCACAACUCCGCCGACCUCCUCUGCCCUGAGAGCGCGUCCGGUGCGGGCGGAGUCGGACGGACUCUGGCUUCACGCCUCGCGCGGGCACACCUUCUCCCGGGCACUGAGGCCCAGUUAUUAGGGGAGGCAGAGUCCUUCUGGAGUUUGACCCUUGGAUUCCAUCCAGAGCAGCCUCCAAAAUGACACCUUUGAAGUUGUGUAUCGAGCUGGGGGAUGUAAAGGGAGGAGAAGAAAGAAGAUGAAGAGAUACCAGCCAGCCUUAAGGAGUGGACAUCCUGCCUGGUGAAACUGAACAAGACACCUACCGCAUAUGGAGUUUCGCUCUGUCGCCCAGGCUGGAGUGCAGUGGUGCCAUCUCGGCUCACCGCAACCUCCACCUCCAGGUUCAAGUGAUUCUCCUGCCUCAGCCUCUCAAGUAGCUGGGAUUACAGGAGCCCUCUCCCACCGCUCCUACACUGCUGGUAAAAGGCAGCCGCACUGCCUGCUGGAAGACCUGC